AUUAGAUUUCUAUUAAAAGCCAAUUAUUAUUGCAUUUGCCUAUGGACAUCCAAAUUGUCAUGCGAUCAGAGAAUUAGUACGGAAUAUAAAGGAAUAGAAGAAAAGUAUGAAGGAAUAUAUGAUAGUCAUACAAAUAAAUUUAAAAAUAAUAAUAGUUAGUUUUUAACUACCGUUAAAUUAUAAAAGCCCACUUUUCAUAUAUCUAUAAGCCAACAAUCUAUAUACUAUAUUUAGUUUGUUGAUGCAAAUACUAAUUUAAUUAGUUUUUUUUGAUAAUUUUACUCCAUCAAUUUUUGUGUAACUCAAAUGACUUAUUCAUGAACAGUAAUGUACAACAACAAAAAAAAGAGAAAUAAUAUUUUUAGAAGUUGUAGCCUCUAUCCACGAGUUAGAUCAAAAUAAUAAUCACUGCUCUCAUAAAUUUGUUAGAAAAUUAAUACACUAAAAAGAACACUUAUUUGACAAAAUGAUCAAAAGAACAACAUCAUUUGAAUACGAUGUCAUUUGCCUCUUAAAAAAAAACAAAUCUAUUACU
rnacentral:lncRNA from 1 species